rnacentral:lncRNA from 1 species
CUGGUGUCGUUUGGGUGAGCAUGAUAUAACAAAAUAAAAAAACAUCAUUUGUCACCAUUAGUCAUGCAUGGUGGGCCUGGAUUCUGAAGUGACAAACUACUUUGUGUUUCUCUAGUAACAGCUACAGAACAAGGGGCUUGUCUGUCACAAAAUAGUACUUCCAUAAACGAUCAGUCUGUGAAUUUGGGAGGCUGCCCAACAACCCACAUCACAACCAAAAUGCCUUGGACCUGCUUUUGAGGGAUGAUCAGGAUAGCAGAGAGAACCGCUUAUUCCUCCGCAUGCCCAGUGCUGAGAUGUCCAUUUGGGAUGUCAGAAAAUCCUAUCAGCUAGAAACUUCAGUGGCAAAAUAUUUCACCAAGCUGUGAUUCAAGCAUCACUGUAUGUGAUAGACUCUGAUAUGUUUGGAUCAAACAACAGUUUUGCCCAGGAUUUUCUAAGAUCCCAAAUAUGUGAGGUCUCUUUCAUGCAUCUAACCUUUCUCCUAGUGUCUUUGGCACGCCAGACUUCAUCUUCACUUUUCUCUUCUCUGAAGGUUUCACGCAACAUGUAAUAGAACCAGUGCAAACAGACCCAGAACACCACUUCCUGUUGCAAAUUUCUGAUGGAAUGCAUAUAUUGCUCUUACUGCCACCCAGGAUCUGUUGCCUAUUAUCCCCAGGAACACUGAAUGUCUCUCAGCUGUAUUUCAAAGGACAUUUGAAAACACAGGCCAGAAGUAUCUGUGGUGCCCUUUCAGACUCAAAGUCCUUGAUGUUCGCCUAUUGGUGCUAUGAGCACCAUCUCUCUUCAAAGCUGGCUCUUCAAGAAGAGGCCUCAAAUAAACAGCAACCUUCUACUCCAUGA